GAAGUUUGAUUCAUGGUUCCGAAUUGAACCGCGGGCGCCAGCCCUACCCCCUCCAAAUUCGAACGGUAACCAGGAAGGAAGCUUGUUUCUUUGCUGACGAGUGGCGGGACGGGGGAGUAAUUUCUGGGAAACUGCCUGAUGGAGGGGGAUAACUACUGGAAACGGUAGCUAAUACCGCAUAACGUCGCAAGACCAAAAAGGGGGCCCUUCGGGCCUCUUGCCAUCGGAUGUCCCCAGAUGGGAUUAGCUAGUAGGUGGGGUAACGGCUCACCUAGGCGACGAUCCCUAGCUGGUCUGAGAGGAUGACCAGCCACACUGGAACUGAGACACGGUCCAGACUCCUACGGGAGGCAGCAGUGGGGAAUAUUGCACAAUGGGCGCAAGCCUGAUGCAGCCAUGCCGCGUGUAUGAAGAAGGCCUUCGGGUUGUAAAGUACUUUCAGCGGGGAGGAAGGGAGUAAAGUUAAUACCUUUGCUCAUUGACGUUACCCGCAGAAGAAGCACCGGCUAACUCCGUGCCAGCAGCCGCGGUAAUACGGAGGGUGCAAGCGUUAAUCGGAAUUACUGGGCGUAAAGCGCACGCAGGCGGUUUGUUAAGUCAGAUGUGAAAUCCCCGGGCUCAACCUGGGAACUGCAUCUGAUACUGGCAAGCUUGAGUCUCGUAGAGGGGGGUAGAAUUCCAGGUGUAGCGGUGAAAUGCGUAGAGAUCUGGAGGAAUACCGGUGGCGAAGGCGGCCCCCUGGACGAAGACUGACGCUCAGGUGCGAAAGCGUGGGGAGCAAACAAAAGGGGAUACCCUGGUAGUCCACGCCGUAAACGAU
rnacentral:rRNA from 1 species